CUCGGUUUGCCAUUUCGGAAAGUGUGCCACGAGCAUUUUCAAGAAGAAUGGAAUUCAGUUGCACGGGAGCAUCAUGAAUAUUACCCAAUGUGCUAAUCAGUAUACCUGUCAUAAAAUCUAAUGUGGGAUUGGAAGAUUUGACAGCUGGUUGAUCCGAUUCAUAAGAAGUUUCAAAUGAUAUAUUUAAUCGGGUUGGUUGUAAAUGGAGAGUCUCAAAAAAUACGUUACUGCGAUAAACAUCCGCGUCAAGAUCUGGUAUUUCAAACUUAUCCGCAAAAGCGUUCUUGCUGAGACUUGCAGAAUCUUUAGAAACAUCGGAUGAUGGAUAAAGCAAUUGUAACAACGUUAAAACCAAUCUAUCCUCCACUUCGAGCGAUAGCUCUUGAAGAAGGAGAGAGGCAUACUUAAUGUAUAGAAUAUUAAAACUGCUAUCUUUAAGGACGGAAAAUCGCAGCUGUAAAAGUUGGGGAUCGUCUUGUUUGACUUCUUGGGUAAUCAUUGUAGGAAACAAUGCAAUUGGAUAUACAGAAUCCAACAUCUGAUUGUCAAUUUGAAGCCAUCCCAAUGACAUUCC